rnacentral:lncRNA from 1 species
GAAAGAGUUAAACCUGCUCUCCUUUCUAAAAGCAACAGGCUGGAUCAUGCACUUUCUGGUGUUUUACAAGGCCAGACCAAAAAAAAGAAAAUUCAAGCAUUGACUGAUGGACUCAUCCAGUCCCCAGAACAGGGCCUUAGAUCUUCAGCAAGGGCUGGAGAACGUCUGUAGACACUCGCUGCACUCAGUACUGAACCACGUCCACCUCGUGCAGAAAUGCCAGGCCUCUCAACGUGAUCCCCUUCUGCAAUUCUCUGCCAGAAGCUCACCGUGGCCCAUACAGGGAUCAGUCACAGCGGGGUCUUCCUCCUAGAACAGCUUUAACACCACCCACACCCACCAGUUCACAUGCAGUACCAGGUUGUCAGUGACACCGAGCAUCUCCAGCCUAAACGAGAGAAGUGUAAGGAGGAAAUAAUUCUGUCCUGCCUGUGUAAUUAGAGAAGCCGACGCGUGAAUCAUUGUUAUAACGAGUUUAAUUAUAAACAUGAUUAAAUAGGCAAUUAGUGCAUAUUCUGCCCCAGAUAAACAAAAUUAAAUUCCUG